rnacentral:rRNA from 1 species
GGCGAACGGGUGAGUAACGCGUAGACAACUUGCCCGAAGAUUUGGGAUAACACCGAGAAAUUGGUGCUAAUACCGAAUAAUAUCACAUUGACCCCGGUCUUUGUGAUCAAAGGUGGCUUCGGCUACCGUCUUCGGAUGGGUCUGCGUCUGAUUAGCUAGUUGGUAGGGUAAUGGCCUACCAAGGCGACGAUCAGUAGCUGGUCUGAGAGGAUGAUCAGCCACACUGGGACUGAGAUACGGCCCAGACUCC